rnacentral:tRNA from 1 species
GGGCGUGUAGCUCAGCGGAAGAGCAUCUCGUUUACACCGAGACGGUCGGGGGUUCGAUCCCCUCCGCGCCCACCA